CAGGGUACUUAGUCUGUCAGACAAUCAGUGCAGACAAGCAUGGAUCAGAUGCUACACAUUCCAUGGAGAAAGUGCGCAAGGACAUUAUGCAGAGAGGCUCCCACGGCCUUGAAGUGCUACUGGCAACACUAGAGAGGUCAACAGACACCAGUGUCUCCCAGAACGUGGUCGCCAUUCUGAGUGAGCUAGUCUGUAGUGGUA